UACGUAGGGGGCUAGCGUUGUCCGGAUUUACUGGGCGUAAAGAGCGCGCAGGCGGUCGAUCAAGUCGAGUGUGAAAGCCCCCGGCUCAACUGGGGAGGGUCAUUCGAUACUGAUCGACUCGAAGGCAGGAGAGGGUAGUGGAAUUCCCGGUGUAGUGGUGAAAUGCGUAGAUAUCGGGAGGAACACCAGUGGCGAAGGCGACUACCUGGCCUGUUCUUGACGCUGAGGCGCGAAAGCUAGGGGAGCAAACGGGG
rnacentral:rRNA from 1 species